rnacentral:tRNA from 1 species
CAAGAUGUAGCUUAAUUAAAGCAUCUCGCUUACACCGAAAAAAUGCCUGUUAAACACGGGCCAUCUUGA